rnacentral:rRNA from 1 species
GACGAACGCUGGCGGCGUGCUUAACACAUGCAAGUCGAACGGAAAGGCCCUGCUUUUGUGGGGUGCUCGAGUGGCGAACGGGUGAGUAACACGUGAGUAACCUGCCCUUGACUUUGGGAUAACUUCAGGAAACUGGGGCUAAUACCGGAUAGGAGCUCCUGCUGCAUGGUGGGGGUUGGAAAGUUUCGGCGGUUGGGGAUGGACGCGCGGCUUAUCAGCUUGUUGGUGGGGUAGUGGCUUACCAAGGCUUUGACGGGUAGCCGGCCUGAGAGGGUGACCGGCCACAUUGGGACUGAGAUGCGGCCCAGACUCCAACGGGAGGCAGCAGUGGGGAAUAUUGCACAAUGGGCGGAAGCCUAAUGCAGCAACGCCGCGUGCGGGAUGACGGCCUUCGGGUUGUAAUCCGCUUUCGCCUGUGACGAAGCGUGAGUGACGGUAAUGGGUAAAGAAGCACCGGCUAACUACGUG